rnacentral:rRNA from 1 species
UACGUAGGGACCAAGCGUUGUUCGGAUUUACUGGGCGUAAAGGGCGCGUAGGCGGCAUGACAAGUCACUUGUGAAAUCUCCGGGCUUAACUCGGAACGGUCAAGUGAUACUGUCGCGCUAGAGUGCGGAAGGGGCAAUCGGAAUUCUUGGUGUAGCGGUGAAAUGCGUAGAUAUCAAGAGGAACACCUGAGGUGAAGACGGGUUGCUGGGCCAACACUGACGCUGAUGCGCGAAAGCCAGGGGAGCAAACGGG